AUUGAACGCUGGCGGCAGGCCUAACACAUGCAAGUCGAGCGAGCGGCGGACGGGUGAGUAAUGUCUGGGAAACUGCCUGAUGGAGGGGGAUAACUACUGGAAACGGUAGCUAAUACCGCAUACCAUCAGAUGUGCCCAGAUGGGAGUAGCUAGUGGGUGGGGUAAUGGCGCACCUAGGCGACGAUCCCUAGCUGGUCUGUGAGGAGGACCAGCCACACUGGAACUGUGAAACGGGCCAGACUCCUACGGGAGGCAGCAGUGGGGAAUCUUGCAAAAUGGGCGCAAGCCUGAUGCAGCCAUGCCGCGUGUAUGAAGAAGGCCUUCGGGUUGUAAAGUACUUUCAGCGAGGAGGCGUUACUCGCAGAAGAAGCACCGGCUAACUCCGUGCCAGCAGCCGCGGUAAUAC
rnacentral:rRNA from 1 species